ACGGCUCAGUAACACGUAGUCAAUCUACCCUAUGGACGGGAAUAACCUCGGGAAACUGAGAAUAAUGCCCGAUAGAACAUUAUGCCUGGAAUGGUUUAUGUUUCAAAUGAUUUAUCGCCAUAGGAUGGGACUGCGGCCUAUCAGUUUGUUGGUGAGGUAAUGGCCCACCAAGACUAUUACAGGUACGGGCUCUGAGAGGAGUAGCCCGGAGAUGGGUACUGAGACACGGACCCAGGCCCUAUGGGGCGCAGCAGGCGAGAAAACUUUGCAAUGUGCGAAAGCACGACAAGGUUAAUCCGAGUGGUUUCUGCUAAAGAAACCUUUUGUCAGUCCUAGAAACACUAACGAAUAAGGGGUGGGCAAGUUCUGGUGUCAGCCGCCGCGGUAAAACCAGCACCUCAAGUGGUCAGGAUGAUUAUUGGGCCUAAAGCAUCCGUAGCCCGUUUUGUAAGUUUUCGGUUAAAUCCAUGCGCUUAACGUAUGGGCUGCCGGGAAUACUGCAUAACUAGGAAGUGGGAGAGGUAGACGGUACUCGGUAGGAAGGGGUAAAAUCCUUUGAUCUAUUGAUGACCACCUGUGGCGAAGGCGGUCUACCAGAACACGUUCGACGGUGAGGGAUGAAAGCUGGGGGAGCAAACCGGAUUAGAUACCCGGGUAGUCCCAGCUGUAAACUAUGCAAACUCAGUGGUGCAUUGGCUCAUGGCCAAUGCAGUGCUGCAGGGUAGCCGUUAAGUUUGCCGCCUGGGAAGUACGUACGCAAGUAUGAAACUUAAAGGAAUUGGCGGGGGAGCAC
rnacentral:rRNA from 1 species